UACAGAGGUCCCGAGCGUUGUUCGGAUUCACUGGGCGUAAAGGGUGCGUAGGUGGUGAGGUAAGUCGGAUGUGAAAUCUCCGGGCUCAACCCGGAAAUGGCAUUGGAAACUACCUUGCUGGAGGAUUUGAGGGGGGAUUGGAAUACUUGGUGUAGCGUGAAAUGCGUAGAUAUCAAGUGGAACACCAGUGGCGAAGGCGGUUACCUGGGGCUUUGCUGACGCUGGAUGCGCGAA
rnacentral:rRNA from 1 species